UUGGUUAAGUUAGAAAGGGCGCACGGUGGAUGCCUUGGCACUAGGAGCCGAAGAAGGACGGGACUAACACCGAUAUGCUUUGGGGAGCUGUACGUAAGCGUUGAUCCAGAGAUUUCCGAAUGGGGGAACCCACUAUCUUUAGUCGGAUAGUAUCCUUACGUGAAUACAUAGCGUAAGGAAGGCAGACCCAGGGAACUGAAACAUCUAAGUACCUGGAGGAAGAGAAAGAAAAAUCGAUUUCCUGAGUAGCGGCGAGCGAAACGGAAAGAGCCCAAACCAAGAAGCUUGCUUCUUGGGGUUGUAGGACACUCUAUACGGAGUUACAAAAGAAAGUUAUAAAUGAAGCGGUCUGGAAAGGCCCGCCAAAGACGGUAACAGCCCGGUAGUUGAAAUGGCUUUCCCUCCAGAGUGGAUCCUGAGUACGGCGGAACACGUGAAAUUCCGUCGGAAUCCGGGAGGACCAUCUCCCAAGGCUAAAUACUCCCUAGUGACCGAUAGUGAACCAGUACCGUGAGGGAAAGGUGAAAAGCACCCCGGAAGGGGAGUGAAACAGUUCCUGAAACCGUGUGCCUACAAGUAGUUAGAGCCCGUUAAUGGGUGAUAGCGUGCCUUUUGUAGAAUGAACCGGCGAGUUACGAUUUGUUGCAAGGUUAAGCGGAAAAAGCGGAGCCGUAGCGAAAGCGAGUCUGAAUAGGGCGCAUAAGUAACAGGUCGUAGACCCGAAACCAGGUGAUCUACCCAUGUCCAGGAUGAAGGUAAGGUAAUACUUACUGGAGGUCCGAACCCACGCACGUUGAAAAGUGCGGGGAUGAGGUGUGGGUAGCGGAGAAAUUCCAAUCGAACUUGGAGAUAGCUGGUUCUCUCCGAAAUAGCUUUAGGGCUAGCCUCGAGGUAAAGAGUCAUGGAGGUAGAGCACUGUUUGGACUAGGGGCCCUUCUCGGGUUACCGAAUUCAGAUAAACUCCGAAUGCCAUGUACUUAUACUCGGGAGUCAGACUGCGAGUGAUAAGAUCCGUAGUCGAAAGGGAAACAGCCCAGACCACCAGUUAAGGUCCCCAAAUAUAUGUUAAGUGGAAAAGGAUGUGGGGUUGCUUAGACAACCAGGAUGUUGGCUUAGAAGCAGCCACCAUUGAAAGAGUGCGUAAUAGCUCACUGGUCGAGUGACCCCGCGCCGAAAAUGUACCGGGGCUAAACAUAUUACCGAAACUGUGGAUGAACCUCAUUAGAGGUUCGUGGUAGGAGAGCGUUCUAAGGGCGGUGAAGUCAGACCGGAAGGACUGGUGGAGCGCUUAGAAGUGAGAAUGCCGGUAUGAGUAGCGAAAGAAGGGUGAGAAUCCCUUCCACCGAAUAUCUAAGGUUUCCUGAGGAAGGCUCGUCCGCUCAGGGUUAGUCGGGACCUAAGCCGAGGCCGAUAGGCGUAGGCGAUGGACAACAGGUAGAGAUUCCUGUACCAGUGCUAAUUGUUUAACCGAUGGGGUGACACAGAAGGAUAGGGAAUCGCACGAAUGGAAAUGUGCGUCCAAGCAGUGAGUGUGAGAAGUAGGCAAAUCCGCUUCUCGCGAAGCAUGAGCUGUGAUGGGGAAGGAAAUUAAGUACGGAAGUUCCUGAUUUCACGCUGUCAAGAAAAGCCUCUAGGAAGAGUAGUACUGCCCGUACCGCAAACCGACACAGGUAGAUGAGGAGAGAAUCCUAAGGUGAGCGAGAGAACUCUCGUUAAGGAACUCGGCAAAAUGACCCCGUAACUUCGGGAGAAGGGGUGCUCUAUUAGGGUGCAAGCCCGAGAGAGCCGCAGUGAAUAGGCCCAGGCGACUGUUUAGCAAAAACACAGGUCUCUGCAAAACCGUAAGGUGACGUAUAGGGGCUGACGCCUGCCCGGUGCUGGAAGGUUAAGAGGAGUGCUUAGCUUCGGCGAAGGUACGAAUUGAAGCCCCAGUAAACGGCGGCCGUAACUAUAACGGUCCUAAGGUAGCGAAAUUCCUUGUCGGGUAAGUUCCGACCCGCACGAAAGGCGCAACGAUCUGGGCACUGUCUCAACGAGAGACUCGGUGAAAUUAUAGUACCUGUGAAGAUGCAGGUUACCCGCGACAGGACGGAAAGACCCCGUGGAGCUUUACUGCAACCUGAUAUGGAAUGUUUGUACCGCUUGUACAGGAUAGGUAGGAGCCGAAGAGACGUGUGCGCUAGCAUACGAGGAGGCAAUGGUGGGAUACUACCCUGGCUGUAUGACCAUUCUAACCCGCCACGCUUAGCGCGUGGGGAGACAGUGUCAGGUGGGCAGUUUGACUGGGGCGGUCGCCUCCUAAAGAGUAACGGAGGCGCCCAAAGGUUCCCUC
rnacentral:rRNA from 1 species